rnacentral:rRNA from 1 species
AUGCACGCUGGCGGCGUGCCUAAUACCUGCCAGUCGAGCGAACGGACGAGAAGCUUGCUUCUCUGAUGUUAGCGGCGGACGGGUGAGUAACACGUGGAUAACCUACCUAUAAGACUGGGAUAACUUCGGGAAACCGGAGCUAAUACCGGAUGAUAUUUUGAACCGCAUGGUUCAAAAGUGAAAGACGGUCUUGCUGUCACUUAUAGAUGGAUCCGCGCUGCAUUAGCUAGUUGGUAAGGUAACGGCUUACCAAGGCAACGAUGCAUAGCCGACCUGAGAGGGUGAUCGGCCACACUGGAACUGAGACACGGUCCAGACUCCUACGGGAGGCAGCAGUAGGGAAUCUUCCGCAAAGGGCGAAAGCCUGACGGAGCAACGCCGCGUGAGUGAUGAAGGUCUUCGGAUCGUAAAACUCUGUUAUUAGGGAAGAACAUAUGUGUAAGUAACUGUGCACAUCUUGACGGUACCUAAUCAGAAAGCCACGGCUAACUACGUG